UGGGCCGUCGCCAAGCGGUAAGGCAACGGACUUUGACUCCGUCACUCGAUGGUUCAAAUCCAUCCGGCCCAACCA
rnacentral:tRNA from 1 species